rnacentral:misc_RNA from 1 species
UUAAGUUCAGCGGGUAUCCCUACCUGAUCCGAGGUCAACCUGAAAAAAUGGGGGGUUCUGGCAGGUGCCGCCCGGGGGUCUGUAGCGAGGAGUAUUACUACGCUUAGAGCCCGGCCGUACCGCCACUGCUUUUGAGGCCCGCCAGCCGGCGGUGCCCAAGACCCAGCGAGCUGGAUUGGUUAUAAUGACGCUCGAACAGG